GGCUGCAGCUCAGUGGCGGAGCAUCUGCUGUGCAUGCAGAAGGUCCCAGGUUCGAAUCAUGGGAACUGGAGCCU